CAACUCCUGAUCAGAAUCUAGAAAAAAAACUUAAAUAGUGCUAUCUCUUUUGCAGAUCAUAAAGGAAAAUGUCCGCACUAUCGAAGUACCAAUAUUCAGUUUUGUGGCUUAUCAUUACAGCAAUUUGAUUGACCGGGACACGGUAACAGUCACGGUGUACUCAAUUGUGUCAAAUCCUUCUUAUGAAGACGUUUCAAAGUUGCAAAAGAAUAAUUGCAGCCACGAAUCAUCAUUUCCUUGCCAUUCCCAAGCGGUAGAAAGAUGCGUCAAGGAAGUGACAGAGGUUUCGACCUUGCCCAUCGGACCGGAAGGGAAACACCUAAUCAUCAUCCAACGACUCAACCAUCGGAGCAAAAUGCCGAAGUUUGACACGAAAUCGAAGUUCCGGAUUUGAAGUAGGCCCAGAAACUUCAACGUCUAGAUGCCAUAAGUGAUGCCAAAAAAAAACUCUUAAUUGGAUUUCGCCGUCAUAAAUUGGACACCCUCUAGCUUUCAGCCUGGCGUCGGACAAUCGAAUAACCUACCGCUGGUACGUAUUAAACCAUUUUUUCUUUCUUUUGAUGAGAUCUAAUAUUUAGUGAUAUCUUUACUAAAACUUUUGACUAUUGAUGUAUCUUUUAUAAAGAAAAUUAUCAUACUGAACCCAACUUAAAUGACAGGUAUAUAUCUAUUAUAUUCAAGAGGAAUUCCCAGCUUUACCGUUUUGGUAUUCCGAAGUAUUUUUCUCUGAAAUUUUAUAAGUCUACGCCCUCAAUUUUCACAAAACAGUAUUCCGAGUGAUCUGGUAAUACUCGGACUCCGUCGCGAUUUUUUUUUGAUGGUGCAUAAGAAUUUGGGGAAGCCUAGAUCAGAAGUUCUCGAAUAUUUAAAUCAUCAUAAUAAUGAGAGGCUUUCAAAUAAUGUAAACACCAGGAACGUUUUUGGAAUUAUAAAAUAGAAUAAGCGCCCUAUGAUUCGCUGAAAGAUGACAAAUCAAUAUUCAUGUAUGGAACUCCGGAUCGAGAGUUACAUAGAUUUUCUUAGAAAAUCUUGGGGAAGUGGGGAAAAAUUUCAGAUUCUCAUCGGAGAAUGAGCUCCUGAAAGUCAGGGAAAACGCAGAGAAUAAGCAUAGUUAACAAUUCUCGACACCAUAAGUUAGCUUUUUUCGCCUGAAUAGACCAGGUAUAGAUUUAAGUAUUCUGACAAACGUCUCUUCACCAAAAUUUUACGUAUAACACGAUUCGCUCAACGAAAACUGUAAUCAACUCAUAACCAAGAAAUUAUCCUUGUUGCACUGGUUAUGGGAAAUUUGAAUUGCCCGGUGACAAUAAAAACAAUACUUUUCGUAAGUCAAAUCGCACACUACAACGCAACGGUUUUUCUGCAUUGUCUGGAGAGUAAACAACGAGCAACAGCUGAGUCGAAGCGCAAAGAUUGAUCUUGUCAUAUUUUUCUGCUGCAGAGACUUUCACGGAAACGUACAGUGCGCGAUUUAACUCCCGCAGAGAAUUGUUUUUUUUAUGACCAUGGAAGUGCAGCGUUUCAUUAUGAAGUGCGUCAAAGAACGUUGUGUAUCUCAAUCUUUGCCAUUGUGGAGUCUGGAGUUGGGAAUGAAAUGGACACUACGAAAUAACAGACGACCUGAAAUGGCUCUUGGACUAAUCCGCACUAUCUUAUCGAACAGAAGAAAUACGUAUCAACUACACAACUAUGAAAAGGUAGGGUUCAAGAGAACCUGAACUGACGUGGAAGGACGAAGCUCACCUCGUGUUAAUUUCAACACAAACCAAUUUUUAAUAGGGUUUACUGGUGUAAAACAACAAUUUUCCUUUUUUUUUAAAAAAAAAAAAAAAAAAAAAAAAAAAAAAAAAAAAAAAAAAAAAAAAAAAAAAAAAAAAACGGAAAAAAAACUGUAAAACCUUGUGCAGUUUCUUUCUCGGAAGUGUGCUUUUCAGUUCCUCUUUCGGAAGAACCUCCUUCAUUUCCUUUUUUGGAGGAGCUGUUAUCGAUUACUCCAUUGGAAAGAUGCGCUUCUGAAUGUUUCUAUUUUCUUCUGCUUCCUCCUCGGACGAUACACAGUCGUCAUUAUCAAGUGAUACAACUUCCACUUUCUUUACAUUCGUAAAUUCCGCAAAUUCGUCGUUUCCAGGUUUUCCUCUCUUACAUGGCUGAUCGAGCUCGGCUUCAGAGACCGAAACCGUUUUCCGACCAACUGUCAGCUUAACUGCGUUUUCCCAACAUUUCUUAAACGUGUCUAGAAAGGGGAAAAAAUUAAAUUAAAAAUCGCUACACAUGUCCACACAAACUGAAACCUCUCAAUUACUUGUUACAGGGUUGAUACACUCUUAGCAAAACGUGACAGUUUAUUACAUUAUCACCAUGCAAAAAGAAAACUACUUCUUUCCACUUUUAAAAGUUAACAUAUAGUUCAGUCAUCAAUUUGCAUAAUUCUGAGUCGAUAGAAAGAGGUUGGUGAUUCGAGUGAUGAUGAACUGAUGGCAUUUUCAAUAAAAUUCCAAUUGAUAACGCAA